GCAAGUCGAACGGUAACAUAAGAGCUUGCUCUUGGUGACGACCGGCGCACGGGUGCGUAACGCGUAUGCAACCUACCUCUUACUGGGGGAUAGCCCGAAGAAAUUCGGAUUAAUACCCCAUAGUAUUAUUUAACCGCAUGGUUUUAAUAAUUAAAGAUUACGGUAAGAGAUGGGCAUGCGUCCUAUUAGUUUGAUGGUAAGGUAACGGCUUACCAUGACUACGAUAGGUAGGGGGCCUGAGAGGGUGAUC
rnacentral:rRNA from 1 species